rnacentral:rRNA from 1 species
UACGUAGGGACCAAGCGUUGUUCGGAUUUACUGGGCGUAAAGGGCGCGUAGGCGGCCUCUGCAAGUCGACUGUGAAAUCUCCGGGCUUAACCCCGGAACGGUCAGCCGAUACUGCAGGGCUAGAGUGUGGUAGGGGGAGAUCGGAAUUCCUGGUGUAGCGGGUGAAAUGCGCAGAUAUCAGGAGGAACACCGGUGGCGAAGGCGGAUCUCUGGGCCAUUUACUGACGCUGAGGAGCGAAAGCGUGG